rnacentral:lncRNA from 1 species
AUGUUGGGAGUCCCCACUUAUAUUUCAAUAAGGCUACUCAGCCAAGUCUAAAAACAGGGUGGAAAAUAGGCAUUUCAAUUUGCUAAGGUGGCACUUAAAAUCCAAUAAAAAAACAAUAUCAAAACAAAAAGGGCAAAAGCAGGCUAAAACCAAAUAGAUAUACAAAACGAGCUGCUGCAAGGAAAAAAAAUCAAUUCGGCCGCAUUUCCAAACUCUCCCUCCUGCCCGCGCCUUCACCGACCGAAGCACCCUUCGUUGACGAGUAUACCGCUAGUCACCUUCCAAGAAGUGGGAGAAAUGGCUUAAAAAAAACGAACUCGUGUAUCUCCCACAUUUGAAAGCCCAAAAAUGACCUUUUAUUCCUGUUUUUCCUUCCAUAAUCUCCGGUCGUUGUCAAACAAUCUGACCAAGUGACUCCGUCAAUGUCUUCUCAAGAUGGUAGGUACAUGAGAUAAAAAGCUAAUCUUUCUGGAUGAUUUAGCUCACUGGAUUGAGAUUCCGAAGGAGUGUGUGCAAUCAUACAGUACAGUGCUUGCGAUUCGUCCACCAUCCAAUUCUCAACAAAAGGAUAUCGUGGCUAAGAUAAAUAAGGGUUUGAAGUGAGAAAAAGUGUUGUAAA